GGGGAAUAUUGGACAAUGGGGGAAACCCUGAUCCAGCGACGCCGCGUGUGUGAAGAAGGCCUGCGGGUUGUAAAGCACUUUCGGUGGGAACGAAAUAUGCCGGGCUAAUACCCCGGUAGGCUGACGUUACCCAAUGAAGAAGCACCGGCUAACUCUGUGCCAGCAGCCGCGGUAAUACAGAGGGUGCGAGCGUUAAUCGGAAUUACUGGGCGUAAAGCGCACGCAGGCGGCAUCGUAAGUCGGAUGUGAAAUCCCCGGGCUCAACCUGGGAACUGCAUUCGAAACUGCGAUGCUCGAGUAUGGGAGAGGACAGCGGAAUUCCGGGUGUAGCGGUGAAAUGCGUAGAUAUCCGGAGGAACAUCAGUGGCGAAGGCGGCUGUCUGGCCCAAUACUGACGCUCAGGUGCGAAAGCGUGGGGAACAAAC
rnacentral:rRNA from 1 species